AAUUGUCGGCAAAGGAGUCUCUGUGAGCAAGAUUUAUUUCUUUCUUGUUUUCUUUUAACCUACUAUGACUGCUCUAUUAAGAGUCUCCGUAAGACCGGGGUCUCAGAGAGACAAUUUGGUCUCCAGCCCUGGCACAUCCAGCCCUGGCCAGGCGUUUCUGCCGCAGGCAGAUGCGGCGUUGCGGCCGGACCGCUGUCCCCGGUGCUGAAAGGUCGAGGGCGCCCGCGCGAGCCCUUGGUAUUGCUAUCCAGGGUGCUGAGCGCGGGCCGCCGCAGUCCCCGAGGCCAGCCCACCCGCGCCAGCCCUCCGCAGAGCCCUCCCACCCGGCACGACCCGCCCGCCCCCCGCCAGCCUGCAGUUGACGUGGAGCAGGCGGCAUAAAUCAAGUCCGCGGGGCAUGGAGGCUGCUGUCGCUGCAGUAGCUCAGCUUGCCCGGGGCGGGAACUCCCCCUUCUCCUUUAGCCUCCCCAGCACCCACACCCUGUCUCCCCCUUAAUUCUUCCCUGGAUAAUAGCACCCUAAAGACAACAGUCCUAAUAAUAGGGUUAGAACGACGUGGGGGGGGAACCCAACAGCCCUAAACAUCUCUGAAAACUGCAUGGCAAAAUGGAAGAAAGAGGGGGUCCCACUACUGUUUCAAAAGAGUAAGUUAUUCGGAGCCAUGGAAGCCAAAUGCUAAGGAUGGUGGCAUCACAGAAUGAAUGGAGCUGGGUUCUUGAAACAUUGCUUGGAGAAAAGACAGCAAAAAUGCCUCAUGAAUCCAACUGGACUGUUAGGAGACAGGGUCUCACUCUGUUGCCCAGGCUGGAGUACAGUGGCAUGAUCUGAGCUCACUUCAACCUCCACCUCCCAUGCUCAGGAUGCUCACCCUUGGAGACCAGCAACAAUGUGUGAGGAAGCCCAGGCCAUGUGGACAGGCCCCACGUAGGUGUCCAGUUAAGGUCCCAGCUGACAGCUGGCACUGACAUGUGAGUGAGACUCUGAACUGUCCCAGCUGAUGACAGGUACAGUUUGAGUGAGCUAUCCCUGUUGGGCCUGUUUCAAAACUGCGGAUUUCAUGAAGAAAUUAAGUGUUUUUGAUUUAAGCCAGUAAAUUUUGACAUAAUAUGUUACACAGCCAUAGUAACUGGAAGAGUGCGAAACAAAUAGUACUCUCUUGUGUCUCAUUUCUUUAUAACGUAUAUCUUCCCCCUUACCUGCAUAGGAAUUCUUUCUCCUUUUCUCUCAGACAGUUCUGCUGUUAUUCCUACUAGUGAUGCUAUUACUACUAUUGUUUCUGUAUCUAUUACUACUACUGAAAAUAAGGUAAUUUUAUAACUAUUAUUGAGUAUGCAUCUACUGUAUAGAUUUACAUCCUUAACAUAUAUUAAUUCUUCUAAUCCUUAUAUCCAAAGCAUGGAGCUGUAUCACCCCCAAGAGUCAUAUGUUGAAGUCCUCACCUUCAGUAUUCACAAUGUGACCUAUUUGGAGAUACAGUCUUUAAAGAUGUGAAAUGAAGCCAUUAAAGUAGUCCUUAAU